AGUGUAUCCUUGCCCAGAUGAGCCUCUUUCAGCAUCUCAGCUCUGGUUAACACUGACCCCAGCCUGGGGAGGAGACCUGAAGCAACUGUCCCUAGAUUCCAGACCCAGAGAAGGGCCCUUCAGGGUAUGGAUUAAUAUGUUAGCCCAUUGGAUCAGGAGCUUGAGAAGUGGCUGAAGGUGGCAGAAGAAAUGUUCUUGGCAUUGAUGCACCUGCUACUCACUCAUCUUCACCAGUGAGAAGGAGGCUGCUGACGAUAAAAGCACUUCGCCACCACACCAGAGGUUGCUGGAUGGAAUUCAGUGGAAAGCCAACUGCUGAGGGCAAAGCCUGUUAACACUGGGAACUGCUGCCCUUUGUGACCACCUCUAGUAUAAGGUCAGAAGCUGAGCGUGACUCUGUGGCAUUUCAUGAAGUAGAAGAGUUUCCACUGUAGGGCGUCUCAGAGAUGAGCUCAACUGAGCCACCUCGUGAUUGCUAAGUGACUUAUUCAAGGUCAGAGCACUGCAGGUGAACGAACCGCAUGGUGGAUCACAAAGAUCUAACGAGAAGGUGGAAAGACGACCAGAGCCAGAGACCACCGCUCAGCACCCUGUCCUCCUGACUGCUCCUGGGAAUGGCAUGCAGAUGCUCAAAGUUCAUGAAUGCAUUGGAGGCACAUCUCUCUGCACGCCUCUUACAUUCUUUCUGCCUCCUCUGUGUGUGUGUGUGUGUUAUAAUAAACAAGUCCCGUUUA